GUUGGAUUCUAUAUAAGAACUCUCUUUUGCGACGGAGCAAGUGUCCCUGUGGCUGGAUCCCAAAGUGGAGGCCUCAAACGAAAGAAUGAGAGGUUCUGUUAAGCACAGGUCAAGUCUUCAAAAAGGCCACCUUACCAUCGGGUUUCCGAGCAGGCUGCUCGGCAGCCACCUUGCGUGGACGGACAACCCCAAAGUAGCCUGCGUCGUUCUUGACUUCGAUGGUGGCUACGCGAGUCUCUCUCUCUCUCUUUCCUUUGCUGCCUUCGUCAGACUCGGAACGGCACUUAAGGUGAUUUCGGGAGCCCGGAAUGCCCGGCGUCGCGAGUGCUCAGCGUGGAACAAUGCAGGUUCCGUUAAAAGUGCCUCUUAAUUGGCAGAGUAUGUUGUGAAACGCUUAUGUACACGGUGUGCU